UUAUUUUGUUCCGUUAAAGUCAUUGUGUGUUUAUAAAGAUGAAUAAGAUAGUGUUUAUGAUUACCAAGGCAGAAUGACCAUUUGAAAUAUCCCAGUGCCAGUAUUUUACUUUUUUAAAAUUUCAAUGUAAAAGGAGAAGGAAAGGAAGUUGGGUGGUUAUAGGAGAUAAUAUUUUGUGCUUUUGUCCUUUUUUUCAUGGUGGAUUUUUCUUCAAAGAAGACUUAAUAUUUAAUGAGAUUCAGGAAGGUAACAUAAUUUUCUGUUUUCUUUCAUUCUAUCCAGAUCUGCUUGACAUUUACCUGGAAGGAUGCUUUUGAUAAAGGUUCACUUUUUGGAGGCUCUGUAAAACUGGCUCUUGCAAGCUUAGGAUAUGAAAAGAGCUGUGUGUUGUUCAAUUGUGCAGCCUUAGCUAGCCAAAUUGCAGCAGAACAGAACCUGGAUAAUGAUGAAGGAUUGAAAAUCGCUGCUAAGCAUUACCAGUUUGCUAGUGGUGCCUUUUUACAUAUUAAAGAGACGGUUUUAUCUGCCUUAAAUCGAGAGCCUACCGUGGACAUAUCUCCAGAUACUGUUGGGACCCUCAGUCUUAUUAUGCUGGCACAGGCUCAAGAAGUAUUUUUUU
rnacentral:sRNA from 1 species